rnacentral:lncRNA from 1 species
CUUGUUUAAAUGCUAAAGUUUUUCAUUAACCAAAAUCAUUAUGCAGGUUGAUCCUAAAACCCAUUGAACAUAAUGAUCCAACGCCAUCUCCCAAUCUUGAAUUCUUUGUAUUUGAGGCAGAGGAAGAUGAUGUUGAAGGGGAUUCCUGACGAGAUUACCCGACUUCUUGAGCACGAAAGAAGCUCAUUCAGCUGUAUCAUGAGAAUCAGCAGAACAGUCAAACUGGGGCAUU